AUUGAACGCUGGCGGCAGGCCUAACACAUGCAAGUCGAACGGCAGCACAGAAGAGCUUGCUCUUUGGGUGGCGAGUGGCGGACGGGUGAGUAAUGUCUGGGAAGCUGCCCGAUGGAGGGGGAUAACUACUGGAAACGGUAGCUAAUACCGCAUAACGUCGCAAGACCAAAGUGGGGGACCUUCGGGCCUCACACCAUCGGAUGUGCCCAGGUGGGAUUAGCUAGUAGGUGGGGUAAUGGCUCACCUAGGAGACGAUCCCUAGCUGGUCUGAGAGGAUGAGCCGCCACACUGGAACUUAGACACGGUCCAGACUCCUACGGGAGGCAGCAGUGGGGAAUAUUGCACAAUGGGCGCAAGCCUGAUGCAGCCAUGCCGCGCGUAUGAAGAAGGCCUUCGGGUUGUAAAGUACUUUCAGCGGGGAGGAAGGCGGUGAGGUUAAUAACCUUGCCGAUUGACGUUACCCGCAGAAGAAGCACCGGCUAACUCCGUGCCAGCCGCCGCGGUAA
rnacentral:rRNA from 1 species